rfam:Ilyobacter polytropus DSM 2926 plasmid pILYOP01, complete sequence.
GGGGGUGUAGCUCAGAUGGUUAGAGCACCGGCCUGUCACGCCGGGGGUCGCGAGUUCGAGUCUCGUCACUCCCG